UACGUAGGGGGCAAGCGUUGUCCGGAUUUAUUGGGCGUAAAGAGCGUGUAGGCGGCCAUGUAGGUCCGUUGUGAAAACUCGAGGCUCAACCUCGAGACGCCGAUGGAAACCAUGUGGCUAGAGUCCGGAAGAGGAGAGUGGAAUUCCUGGUGUAGCGGUGAAAUGCGCAGAUAUCAGGAAGAACACCCGUGGCUAAGGCGGCUCUCUAGUACGGUACUGACGCUGAGAGCGAA
rnacentral:rRNA from 1 species